CUCGUAACGUGUCACAAACAGUGAAACGCGGAUGGUGAUUUUAAACCUGUUAAUUAAACCUGUUAAUUAAACCCGUUAAUUAAACCCGUGAUGGAGACAUAAGGUGUGUGGUGUCUGCACAGGUGAAGACAACAUGACGGGAGUGACACCCUCAGUUCGAGUGUGGAGAACUUUUAAC